UACGUAGGGUGCGAGCGUUGUCCGGAAUUAUUGGGCGUAAAGGGCUCGUAGGCGGUCUGUUGCGUCAGGAGUGAAAACUCGGGGCUUAACCCCGAGCCUGCUUCUGAUACGGGCAGACUAGAGGUAUGCAGGGGAGAACGGAAUUCCUGGUGUAGCGGUGAAAUGCGCAGAUAUCAGGAAGAACACCCGUGGCUAAGGCGGCUCUCUAGUACGGUACUGACGCUGAGACGCGAAAGCGUGGGAGCGAACAGG
rnacentral:rRNA from 1 species